AGCUCACCAAGCCUAUGACGGGUAGCGGGUCUGAGAGGAUGAUCCGCCACACUGGUACUGAGACACGGACCAGACUCCUACGGGAGGCAGCAGUGGGGAAUAUUGCACAAUGGACGAAAGUCUGAUGCAGCAACACCGCGUGGAGGAUGACACAUUUCGGUGCGUAAACUCCUUUUAUAUGAGAAGAUAAUGACGGUAUCAUAUGAAUAAGCACCGGCUAACUCCGUGCCAGCAGCCGCGGUAAUACGGAGGGUGCAAGCGUUAUUCGGAAUCACUGGGCGUAAAGGGUGCGUAGGCGGUUUGGAAAGUCAGGUGUGAAAUCCUACAGCUUAACUGUAGAACUGCACUUGAAACCUCCAGACUAGAAUACUGAAGGGGCAGAUGGAAUUAGUGGUGUAGGGGUAAAAUCCGUAGAUAUCACUAGGAAUACCGAAAGCGAAAGCGAUCUGCUGGGAAGUUAUUGACGCUGAGGCACGAAAGCGUGGGGAGCAAACGGGAUUAGAUACCCCGGUAGUCCACGCCCUAGACGAUGAAUGCUAGUCGUCGGAAAGCUCGUCUUUUCGGUGAUGCAGUUAACACAUUAAGCAUUCCGCCUGGGGAGUACGGUCGCAAGAUUAAAACUCAAAGGAAUAGACGGGGACCCGCACAAGUGGUGGAGCAUGUGGUUUAAUUCGAAUACGCGAAGAACCUUACCUAGCCUUGACAUUGAUAGAAUCUGAUAGAGAUAUCGGAGUGCCUGCUUGCAGGAACUUGAAAACAGGUGCUGCACGGCUGUCGUCAGCUCGUGUCGUGAGAUGUUGGGUUAAGUCCCGCAACGAGCGCAACCCUCGUCGUUAGUUGCUAACAGUUCGGCUGAGCACUCUAGCGAGACUGCCUUCGCAAGGAGGAGGAAGGUGAGGACGACGUCAAGUCAUCAUGGCCCUUAUGGCUAGGGCUACACACGUGCUACAAUGGGGCGUACAGAGAGUUGCGAUACCGCGAGGUGGAGCCAAUCUCAUAAAGCGUCUCUCAGUUCGGAUUGUUCUCUGCAACUCGAGAACAUGAAGCUGGAAUCACUAGUAAUCGUAGAUCAGCAAUGCUACGGUGAAUACGUUCCCGGGUCUUGUACUCACCGCCCGUCACACCAUGGGAGUUGAUUUCACCCGAAAUCGGGAAGCGAACCUUCGGGGCGCUACCGCUUACGGUGGAAUUAGCGACUGGGGUGAAGUCGAACAAGGUAACCGUAGGAGAACCUGC
rnacentral:rRNA from 1 species